AUCCGGUUGACGAGUCCCGAAUAAGACGAAACGCGCGUCAAACUAGAU
rfam:Schistosoma margrebowiei strain Zambia genome assembly, scaffold: SMRZ_scaffold0000452